rnacentral:snRNA from 1 species
AUCGCUUCUCGGCCUUUGGGCUAAGAUCAAGUGUAGUAUUUGUUCUUAUUAGUUUAAAAUGCAUGGGAAAGAUAUUUAAGGAUAUGAGGAAAUGCUUAUGACAAGAUGUUAAAUAACAGGAAAACAGAACCGAC